UAGUAUACAUUAUAAAAUGUUCAACAAAACUAAAUACUAAAAGUUUUCUAUGUAUUUUUCCUAUAUUCAGAGCAUUCAACAUGAAAUAUAAAGAAGAGAUUUAUUAUUAAGAAAUCUUGGAUUAUUAAAAAUCAUAACACAAAAUGUAUUAUUAUUUAUAUAGAUCAAUGAUUCCCAACAUGGGGGGCACACCCCCACAAUUGCCCUUUGUGGGCAUGGAGUGCAUGCCCCACAAGGGGCAACUGUGGGGAUGUGUGCCCCCGUUGGGCGUGCAACCCAUGUUGGGAAUCAUUGAUCUAUAUAAAGGGGCAAUUAGACUUUUAAGUGAGGCAAUUCGAAAAUUAAUUAUUAACAGUGAAUUUUUUGCAUUUCUUAUAGUUCUAGGAAUCUCAUACAGCAUAUAAAUAUAUAUUGGCAUACAUAUUUUUU
rnacentral:lncRNA from 1 species